UUACGGUCACAUCCCGUUGAAACACCAGGUUCCGCACGAUCACUGAAGUUAAGCAACGUUGAGCCAACUACUUUGAUGGGUGACCAGGUUCGACUUGGGAAUAUCAGGUGGUGUAAG